AAAAAAAAAAAAAUCAUACGAAAGCAUUUUUCAAAAAGCUCAUUUAAGGGUCAUGUAGAAGGUAAUUUUGUUUAACUAUUUGUUAUGGAUUAGGGCUUAGCUUCUUUAAAAUUGAAGGUUAACUGGUGGAUGUGAGAUAAGUAGCAAGGGAUUUCUGUUCAGUAGAAAAGAUAACCUCAAAGAUUAUGGUUUUCUUCCCCUCUGUGAUAUUAACUGUUUGGUAUCUAACUUUGAAUCUUACUCUAGUUUCCUUGAGGAGCUCAUCUCAGUUUCUUGUAUUCUCCUAUAAGCCAGCUGUAUCAUCGUGCUGCUCUCUUCAUGAAUGAGUGGGCACAGGCUCACUAUACAUUUAUAUAUGUGUGAGGUUUUGGAACUGUUUGAAAAUGAUUCCCAGAAACGAGGGAGAGUUGAUCGUUUCCUAUUUUGGUUCUGCUUUCCCUGGAAGAGGAGAGGUUCCUACCAUGGGUACUUGGCUUGAGCUGCCCUCUUGGGGCAUCUGACUUCUCAUUGGUCACCAGGAUAUCUGAGGCUUCACAUGGUCCCGGGAAGGAUGUGCCGUCAGCAGUGAGUGAUGGUUCCAAGGAUCCCCCCUGCUCUGAGGCCAAAGGACCCUCAUUCUACUUCCGGCUCCAGUCGCUGCCCUGCCUGGUCCUUGUGCUGCAGACUUUACAUUUUAUCAUUCCAGGAACUGGGCCUCACCACCGCCAACCCCUCCAUGGCACAUCUGCUUUCUGUCUGCCCAGAACAGAGUUUCUACCCAGCCGCCUGCAAAAACAUCUCAAGGCAUAGCGUGCAUUGAGGUGAGGAGGGACAGCUGGUUCUACUUGAAAUUGGGAAGUGGUCUGCCCACAGGUAAUCCCCUCCCCCACCCCUACAACUCCCUUAUCCUUUUCAAAAUAAAAAAGAAUCAUUUCAGUCUUGGGUAGAAACCCAAGGCCCUGCCAAGACAUUUGCAUUUUAAAUUCUUUCUCUGAGCAUUGUAGAAAGGAAGAAAAGAAGCUCAGAAGACAUCCAAGUCUGUUUGUUCUGGGGGACAGUGGGAGAGAAUGAAGGAGUGUGACCUUAAACUGGCUUGUUCCUUUAGAGUUUGUUCCUUUAACUGGUUUGUUCCUUUCCUUGGGAAGCUGGCUUGGCAGACCCACCUUUUACCUUUCAGAGUCCAGCGUCUCCUAAGGGUCUUCCUGACGUCCUAAGUCUCCACCCAAGUCUCUACCACAAGGUGAGGACCUGGUUGUAGGUAGACUUGGGGGUUGGCCAUUCCUAGCUGUACCUGCUCUGCUCUUUGUAACGACAGACAACAGCAGACGGCUGACCGACUGGGGACAUGCAGAUCAGCUGAUUGGACGAGGCACAGACAGGUCAGCUGACUGCGUAGGGCGCAGACAGAUCAGAUGCUUGAUGGUGCUGUGAAGAGGAGACUCCAUGGUUGUGAACCAAGGCAUGGGCAGAGAUGCACCAAAGGAUGGAAGAGGUGUGAGGGCUCUGCCCCAGAGAGAGGUCACUCCUCCCCCUCCUCCCUCACCUCCCGCAUCCUGGCCCACCUGGACUUACACAAA